UUCCGUAGGUGAACCUGCGGAGGGAUCAUUACACAAAUAUGAAGGCGGGCUGGAACCUCUCGGGGUUACAGCCUUGCUGAAUUAUUCACCCUUGUCUUUUGCGUACUUCUUGUUUCCUUGGUGGGUUCGCCCACCACUAGGACAAACAUAAACCUUUUGUAAUUGCAAUCAGCGUCAGUAACAAAUUAAUAAUUACAACUUUCAACAACGGAUCUCUUGGUUCUGGCAUCGAUGAAGAACGCAGCGAAAUGCGAUAAGUAGUGUGAAUUGCAGAAUUCAGUGAAUCAUCGAAUCUUUGAACGCACAUUGCGCCCUUUGGUAUUCCAAAGGGCAUGCCUGUUCGAGCGUCAUUUGUACCCUCAAGCUUUGCUUGGGGGUGGGCGUCUUGUCUCUAGCUUUGCUGGAGACUCGCCUUAAAGUAAUUGGCAGCCGGCCUACUGGUUUCGGAGCGCAGCACAAGUCGCACUCUCUAUCAGCAAAGGUCUAGCAUCCAUUAAGCCUUUUUUUUCAACUUUUGACCUCGGAUCAGG
rnacentral:rRNA from 1 species